rnacentral:lncRNA from 10 species
CUGGGAUUACAGGCAUGAGCCACUGCACCUGGCCUAAAAUAGAAAAGAUAUUUAACUUCUGUGCUUUAUUCCUCCAGAGACUGAUUAAGAUCUUUGAAUGGAAAAUCCACAGAAACAGAUUUUAGUUCAAUGUGUAUCAUUAGUAUAUUAACAUAAUUUCAUUUGCCAUUUUUGGAGUUGUGGCUUUAAACCAGAGAACAACAUAGAUGUAUUUAACUCUAUUAUUUCAUCUGGCCAUCGCUGUAAACCUUCAGGUACGUAUUAUUAUUCUCAUCUUACAGAUGAAGAAACUGAUGUUCAAAGAGUUUCAAGGUCACUUACUGAGCUGAUAAGAGCUCCUGCGUCUUACUACACAAUUAUUAAACUGUUGUACUGUACUCAGUUACUUCAAAUUAAAAUUAGAAUUAGUCAUUUCAAAUUGUAAUUAGGAAUGUUUAAACUUGACUCAAUACAAGCUUUUCAAAAAAAAAGAAAAACACUUGGCAGGCUAAACCACAUUUUCCUGCUGAUAACUAUUUGACCUUCUCUUGGACCCUGGUCCACAUGCAUUUUGAAUGUUUGAUUUGGGGGUUCAAGCCACCUUCCCUGAAAGUCACACUGAAGCUCUUAUUUUAGAAGUGGGAGGUUAUCAUCCACUCAGCCUCCUUAAUGGCUUUUACGUUACAAAAAGCAUGUUUAUAAUUUCAAUGGAAAAAGCAUAUAUAUAAUUUACCGGUGAAAAAAUGCUUUGAGAUGCUGAUUUGGGAUGCUGUCUCACGGCAGAUAGUCGUUACCUGUAUACUACUAACUCAGUUGGAAGAGGAGUAAGCAAAUUGGGGUCUGGAUUACGUGAUACUCUCAGGUCAGUUGCCUGGAACUUCCUAAAUGAUUUAGAUGGAACAUUUUCCUCCUUACGUAAAUCUCUGUGAAGAAGAGACUGGGGGGUACAUUCCAACUCCCCAUAGACGAGUAACUAAAUAACAAGUCUGAACUAACUCAAAUAAUUCCAGUCUUCUCUUACUGCCACCUCUCCCAUCUUGUUUUGUUAAGCAUUCUAGCUUUAUUUUGGCUCUGAAGACUUUGGUAGCCCUAAGAUCAUUGUUUCCAGCCAGAAAGUCCUCUGUGAUCAGGAUCUUUAUAACUAUCAGUGAUUUCUCCCUGUUGAUUAAGUCUACAUAAGUCUCUUUGAACUUGGAUUUGACAUUAGAUUAGCAAGUGAUUUUCAGCUGGGAUAUAAGAUCUAUAAAUUGCUGACAAAAGAAACUACAGUUUGACAGCCUUGUCUAAAUUUAGGUCUUUUCCCCCAACUUUUUGUUGGUGAAUUUCAAUAACCCCUCAUGUGCUAAGUUAGGAUCUGUCAUGGACCUUCAUAUUUUUUACUUGUUUUUCCCUCUCCCUCUUCUCAGCUUUCCCUCUUGACUUUCUUUGGCUGUCUUUUUUCCUUCUUUCCAUAUUCAUUAAAUAACUUUGAGUUAGCCUUUGCAUUGGAUAUAAUGCAAAGGAUAUAUAAAGAUGAAUAAGACAAUUUUUGUCCUUUAAACAAAAUUAAUGAUCUUAAAUUCAUUUACUAAAGAAAUUUCAGGAAGUGCUGUUUCUGUAGAUCUUUGCUUUAAUAAGUGUUAGAUACAACACAUAUACAUAAUGAUUCAAAGUGUUUAGCAAAUACUUUUUCCUAUUCAAAAGUAAUUUGAAUUAACAAGAAAUUUUUCAUCUGUUGGAUGGCCAUUCAUAUUUAUUCUAUUGCCCAUUGUAUGAACUUUUAUAUUUUUGCCAUAUAAUUUGUGUACAUUAUUCUUAGAGAUAUGUAUCCGUCUUAUUUUCAUCAGGAAGCCUAGUGAAUUCUCAUGUCAGGCAUAAUAGCAUUAACGAGAGCUUGAUAGGAUUAAUGAAACUUAUAUAUUUGUGUCUCUAAUGGAGAUUUCCUCCCUUUUAAUGCCCAGAUGUGCCAGGUGGUGCCAGUGCCAGCUAAUCACCUCCCUGUUGGCAGCACCGUGAACACUGUGCACCUGUCUUCAGAUGGCACUUAAAGCAGAGAAGCCUGCUGUGUGGCUGUGGGAGUCAUCAGAGAGGUGGCAGUGGAGGUUUGUUAUCGACCCAAUCAUUACAUCGCUACCCAAGAGUUGGAAACUUCCUGUGUUGCCCACGCUGGUCUCAAACUCCUGGACUCAUGGGAUCCUCCCACCUUGGCCUCCCAAAGCAGUGGUAUUACAGGCAUGAGCCAUUGCACUGGGCUCCUGUUUAGUUUUAAUUUUAAAACACCUCAAGAGUCAGAUAAUUCAGGGAAAGACCAUGCAAGGCUGUUACUGAAGAAAGUGCUACGAGUCUGUUCUAGACAUGGCUUGCCUAGCACUGAGCAUCCUUCCUCACUUCUAAGUGAGAAUUUUCCAGAUCUGUGCAUUGGGGUCCCCCAAGAAAGAGGCUCAGUCCUGAUGUACUGUUUCCUGUAUACUGCAUGCUCACCCCCCAAAACCACAUGGUUAAUCCAGAUCCAGCCCCUGCUUUCUUAGUUAUGAGGCUUCUCAUGGCAAAGCAAUAAAAAGCAAGUUUUCAAUGAUAAAGUCAUGUCUGAAAACAUGUUAAUUGUCAUCAUCUUUGAUGUUGUAACCUGAGCUAUAGAUUGUUGGGAUGCACACGUUACUCUUUUAAGCUUAUGUGCCUUGAUUCUGUCUACAUCAUUUCUUUCUUUCUGAACUGUGAACUGCGCUAAUUUGAUGGGGUUUGCUACCUGAUUGGGGUCCUGACCUUAGCCUUCAUCUUGCCAUAUACAGUUUGUUUUUGUCUCCAUCAGCGUUAGCUCUGUUCAACGCCCUUGUGGAGUCCAGGACUUAGAGAGAGGAUCUCCAAGCAGAAGCCCCCAGCCCACGUGAGAACAGGGAGACCCUUGUGCCCUUAACUGUUUUCCAUAGUACUGCCCAGCCUUGUACACUCUGGCCCAAAUGUUCCUCACCUUUGGAAGACACAGAACUUCUUUCAAAACCAUUGAAAUAUCGAGAUCAUUUCCGCAGAAAGAAAAUGUAAUUUAAGGUAAUUCGUGGACUUACCCCCACCCCCCCAAUUUUAUUCAUGAAUCAUAGUAAUUCUAGGGACCUCAGGUUACAAACUUCACUUUGGUCAGAAACAUUAAAAGCUAUUUUGGGAUAAGACAGAAACCAUAGGUUAAAUCUUUUUUUUUUUUAAACAUACUUCUUAGGGGUUAACAAAAUGUCAUAGAUUGUUUAUAACUAUAUGAAAUACGUUCCUGAAAGCAUCAAAAUCUUUAUUAAUGAACUAGUACUAAAAUGCUUACUAGCCUAACCUUGUACUAAAAGACCCUGGAGUAUUGUUAUAAUCAUUAGUAUUUUGAACCAUGGUCAGUUUGGGUUUUACUCUUCAUUUCAGGCUUGGUUUCUGCUUAUAUGUUAUUUUGCAUUUGUGCCUCGAAAGUUUAUGCCUUUGCUCACUUCUCAACAACUUUAGCAUUUACAAUAUAUUAGAAAAUGCUAUCAAUGACCAGAGACUAGAGUAGCAGGUCCCAUAGCUGAUGUUUAUUUUGUAAAAGCAGGAUGUAGUAGAAAUAACACAUGUACCACAGCGAGAAGGCUGGGGUCGAAAUUCUUGUGCUGUAGCAGAAAAGGUAUUUGAACCUCCUAAACUUAUUUAAGGUAGAGUCCUGGUGUUUGGCAAAUAGUAAUAAUAGUCAGGACCUUACCAUGUGCCAGACAGCAUUCCCAGAACUCACACAUACAGAGCUCAUUUCAUCUUUACCACAAAUAUGGGGGAUGUAUGUGAUUGUCCACAAUUUAUAAAUGAGAGGAAGGGAGCAGAGAGACUUGAAAUAACAUGUUUGAAUCACAGACCUAAAAGUGCAAAGGCCAGAUUCAAGUGCAGCCACUGAACUCCAGCAUCAAAGCUCCUCCCCACCUCACUAUACUGCCUCCCAUGGGUGACCUCGGGGGUUACAUUAACUCAUGUAUGUAUCAGUGCUUAGAGCAAUUCCUGGCAUGGAGCAAAUGCCAUGUAUGUAUGAGCUGUUACUAUUUUUGAGAAACAGCACAGCAUAGCUUAAUGAUCAGGAACAUGGACUAUAGAACUACAUUGUCUGAACUCAACCCCCAAUGCUGGUUCCUCCAUCAGUAACUUGUGUGACCUUGGACAAAUUACUUGUCAUCUCUGUGAUCAUCAUAAAUGAAGAUGAAAAUAGUCUACCUUGUAGGGUUAUUGUACAGAUUAAGUAAGAUAAUAUUCCUAAAGCACUUAAGGCACUUUUUUUUUUGGAGGGGGCUUUUUAUUUUUUAACUUUUAGGUUCAGGGGUACAUGUACAUGUUUGUUACACAGAAAAAAUGCAUGUCAUGAGGGUUUGGUGUACAGAUUAUUUUGUCACCCAGAUAAUAAGCAUAGUACCUGAUAAGGCAGUUUUUUAAUCCUCUCCUUCCUCCCACCUCCCACCCUCAAGUAGGCCCCAGUGUCUGUUGCUGCCUUCUUUGUGCCCAUGUGUUCUCAAUGUUUUAACUCUUACUACUAAGUGAGAAAGUACAAUAUGUGAUUUUCUGAUCUUACAAUUAUUUGCUUAGGAUAAUGGUCUCCAGCUUUAUCCAUGUUGCUGCAAAGGACAUGAUCUCAUUCUUUUUUAUGGCUGCAUAGUAUUCCAUGGUGUAUGUGUACUACAUUUUCUUUAUCCAGUCUGCUGUUCAUGGCCAUUUUGGUUGAUUCUAUAUCUUUGCCAAUGUGAGUAGUGCUGUGAUUAACACACAUGUAUGUAACUGAAUCAUGCAUGAAUCAUGUAGAAUGAUUUAUUUUCCUUUGGGUAUACAGCCAGUAAUGGGAUUGCUAGGUCAAAUGGUACUUCUGUUGUAAGUUCUUUGAUAAACACCCACACUGCUUUCCACAAUGGCUGAACUAAUUUACAUUUUCACCAGCACUCUGUAAGCAUUGCAUCAUCUUCAUGACCUCUCCAGCAUCUGUUAUUUUUUCUUUUUUGUAAUAGCCAUUCUGAUUGGUGUGAGAUGUUGGGGCUAUUUGGUUUUUGCUUAAUUUAAGUUCCUUAUAGACUGGAUGUUAGACCUUUGUUGGAUGCAUAAUUUGAAAAGAUUUUCUCCCAAUCUGUAGGUUUGUCUGUUUAUUGUCUUGUUAGUUUUUCUUGUGCAGAAGCUCUUUGAUUAGAUCUUAUUUGUCAAUUUUUGUAUUUGUUGCAGUUGAUUUUGGCAUCUGAGGAGGUGUAUGAUCUCUACAAUAAGAACUGCAAAAACACUGCUCAAAGAAAUCAGAGAUGAUACAAACAGUGAAAAAAUAUCCCAUGCUCAUGGAUAGGAAGAAGCAAUAUUAUUUAAAUGGCCAUGCUACUCAAAGCAAUUUACAGAUUCAGUGCUAUCCCUAUCAAACUACCAAUGACAUUCUUCACGGAAUUAGAAAAAACUAUUUUAAAAUUCAUACAGAACCAUAAAAGCCCAAAUAGCCAAGGCAAUCAAUUCUAAGCAAAAAGAACAAAACUUGGAGGCAUCAAUUUAUGUGACUUGAAACUACACUACAGGGCUACCGUAACCAAAACAGCCUGGUACUGGUACAAAAGCAUACACAUAGACCAACAGAACAGAAUAGAGAGCCUAGAAAUAAUGCCACACACCUGUAAUCAUCUGAUCUUUGACAAAGUUGACAAAAGCAAUGGGGAAAGGACUCCCUAUUCAAUAAAUGGUGCUGGGAUAACUGGGUAGCCACAUGCAAAAGAUUGAAACUGGACCCCUUCCUUACACCAUAUACAAAUAUCAACUCAAGAUGAAUUAAAGAAUUAAAUGUGAAACCUCAAACUAUAAAAAUCCUUCAAUAUAACCUAGGAAUUAGCAUUUUUGACAUAGGCCCCAGCAAAGAUACUUUCUUCUUAAUACCUAGGAAGUGCCCAUUUACAAAAAUAAUGUCCUUCUUUGCUGACUUUGAAAAUAUACUCGGAUAAAACAGAGUAGGUCUUAUUAAUUGCAUAUGUUCACAUUUCAAAAUGUAAGUAGCCUUAUGUAAACCCCUAAAUAGCUAGUGACAUGAAUUUUUCAUUUCUUACAUGUGAAUAAACUUAAGCUGUACAUAGUUAAGAAGGCUUGGAACAAUUCAUAGAGAUUAUGACCUGUGAAGAACUGGCCAUCCAGAUAGGUCCCCACCACAUGCCACUGACCUUAUCUCCACCAUCACUGACUUCUUUUUAUGUUUAGAGGAUCCAGAUGCUCAGUGUCAUCUUCGAAGAUGCCAGGUCACAUUGGCAAAGGCCGCAAGAACUGAUAUGAAAAACCAGAUGCAAUGAAAACCGUAACUGUACAUGAGACAGAACUGCCCAAGGUCAAGCUGGGGCAUUCUGUGUGAAGAGGAAGAUGCCUUGGCAGAAGAUCACUUCAUCAUGACCAGGGCAUCAGAAGAAGGGGUCGCAGAAUUUAUUCAUGAUUCAAUAAGUAUGCACCACCUGUCUGGAAGUGAGUUAGCAUAAAACAUAAGUUCAGUAAGAAUACAAGAAUGAGUGAGUGAAUUAAGAAAUGAAUGGAUUGGGAGUUACCAUUGGCCACACACCGCUUAGACAGUAGAAUAUCUCAGCCAGGUAGAAAGAAUGGAUCAUGGUGGCCCAGCAAAGCAUGUACUUCCUGGGGCAGAUUGUGGCAUCAUUAUCUCCAACAUCUCUGACAAUUUCUGUUUCAAGUUAAGGGCUGGUCAGCUUCUAUUCUUAGAAACACUUUCUUUACACAUGUCAGUAAAUCAAAUCUUGUCUUUAGAGACAAUCCAUCUUGUUAAACUAACUUUGUUUGGGUCUACCCUGACCCUGUUUGUGCCACCCCUGCCCCCAUACAUAUAAUCAGUUUUGUCUGUAGUUAUAAUUUGUCCAUAAUUUGGAAAAGAGAAGCCUAAAAAAGUUCACUCUAGACACUUUCAGCUAGGAACAAACUUAUAUGUGAAAAUAAUUAAAAUGUGGGGAGUGAAGGUUUAUAGUGGAACUAUUUACAGACCCUCAAACACUGCACAACAGUUGAAACUUUGCUGUAGUGACUUCAUUCUCUUAGUUGUCAAUCUGUUUUUCUUCUACAUUUCUUCCACAUACUUCUGGUAUAUUUUUAAUAAAGAUUUUUCAAAAAGAUAAAUAUGGCUUAUAUUUUCCCAGCUCAAAAUUCCCCUGAAGGCCUCCGAAGCAGUAAAUAGUAGUGCUU